rnacentral:tRNA from 1 species
GUAGUUAUGUCAGAAAUAUUAUGAGUUAAUUUUAAGCGUUAAUUAUGGGUUUAUACCCUAGCUACU